GCCUGGGUAGCUCAAGUCGGUUGAGCGUCCGACUUCAGCUCGGGUCACGAUCUCGCGGUUCGUGGGUUCGAGUCCCGCAUCCGGCU
rnacentral:tRNA from 1 species